rnacentral:tRNA from 1 species
GGGGUUGUAGAUCAGUGGCUGAGCACUUGCCUAGCAUGCAUGAGGCACUGAGUUCAAUCCUCUGCACCACA